rnacentral:rRNA from 1 species
CCCUUAGAUGUUCUGGGCAGCACGCGCGCUACAAUGGUCUUCGCAAACGGAUGCAUUCUCGAAGGAGAAUGCCAAUCUUGGAAUCUAUGCCUUGGUCGGGACAGUUGCUUGCAAUUUUUCGACUCGAACCAGGAAUUCCUUGUAAUCGUGAUUCAUCACAUCACGAUGAAUACGUCCCUGCCCUUUGUACACACCGCCCGUCGCUCCUACCGAUCGAGUGAUCCGGUGAAUGAUUCGGACCAGCGUGCUGCUCAGAUCCUGCGCAGUGUGCUGGGAAGUCUAGUGAACCUUAUCACUUAGAGGAAGGAGAAGUCGUAACA